AACGAACGCUGGUGGCAUGCCUAAUACAUGCAAGUCGAACGAGAAAGCUCCUUCGGGAGUGAUUACAGUGGCGCACGGGUGAGUAACGCGUAGGUGACCUACCUACUAAUGGGGGACAACAUCGGGAAACCGGUGCUAAUACCGCAUGUGUUGAUCAAUUUUGAAAAUAGAUCAAGAAAGAUGGCCACUCCUUGGAAGCUAUCGUUAGUAGAAGGGCCUGCGUGGCAUUAGCUUGAUGGUGGGGUAAAGGCCUACCAUGGCUACGAUGCCUAACUGGUCUGAGAGGAUGAUCAGUCACACUGGAACUGAGACACGGUCCAG
rnacentral:rRNA from 1 species